rnacentral:rRNA from 1 species
AGAACGAACGCUGGCGGCAUGCCUAACACAUGCAAGUCGAACGCUCCUGGGGCUUCGGUCUCAGGGGAGUGGCGCACGGGUGAGUAGCGCGUGGGAACCUGCCCUGUUGUGGGGGAUAACCGAGGGAAACUUCGGCUAAUACCGCAUAAGCCGGUUGUCUUGGAAGAGAUGGCCGGGAAAGAUUUAUCGCGACAGGAGGGGCCCGCGUCGGAUUAGCUAGUUGGUGGGGUAACGGCCCACCAAGGCAGUGAUCCGUAGCUGGUCUGAGAGGAUGAUCAGUCACACUGGGACUGAGACACGGCCCAGACUCCUACGGGAGGCAGCAGUGGGGAAUAUUGGACAAUGGGCGCAAGCCUGAUCCAGCAAUGCCGCGUGAGUGAUGAAGGCCUUAGGGUUGUAAAGCUCUUUCGCCCGCGACGAUGAUGACGGUACCCGCAGAAUAACGCCCGGCUAACUUCGUGCCAGCAGCCGC